rnacentral:rRNA from 1 species
AUUGAACGCUGGCGGCAGGCCUAACACAUGCAAGUCGAACGAGUGGCGGACGGGUGAGUAAUGUCUGGGAAACUGCCUGAUGGAGGGGGAUAACUAAUGGAAACGGUAGCUAAUACCGCAUACCAUCAGAUGUGCCCAGAUGGUAUUAGCUAUUCGGUGAGGUAACGGGUCAACUAGGCGACGAUCCCUAGAUGGUCUGAGAGGAUGACCAGCCACACUGGACCUGAGAAACGGGCCAGACUACUACGGGAGGCAGCAGUGGGGAAGAUUGCACAAUGGGCGCAAGCCUGAUGCAGCCAUGCCGGGUGUAGGAAGAAGGCCUGAGGGGUGUAAAGUACGUUCAGCGGGGAGGCGGUACCCGCAGAAGAAGCACCGGCUAACUCCGUGCCAGCAGCGGCGGUAAUUC